rnacentral:lncRNA from 1 species
CCCACAAACUCAUAUUUUCUCCCAUCAUUUCAUCAUUAUCUUCUCUCUCCCCAACCUUCAUUCUCCUCCUACCCCCCAAAAACUCCAUUAAACAUAAAACCCAAAGCUCACAUUUUUACCCCAACCAUACACCAAAAACCAAGACCACUUUCACAAAACCUUAUCCAUUUGUCACCAUAAUCACUUUUCUGGGUCUAAAUUCACAAAAAUCCAAAGUUCGAAUUUCUCACUUUUUCAAAUAAACAAUGCCUCCAAAGAGAAUGAUAAGGGCAAGCAAGCAGCUGCAACAUCAAGAACUAGGAAGUAGAGCUCGAGAUCAUCCAACCCUCACAAAAUUAUUUUUGAGGAUGAUGCCCAAGCCAAAAUGUACUUUGUGCUAAUUCGUCGGAAAAUGACUCCUACAAGGUACACGUGUGAACAAAUUUUAACUGAUUUAGGUUUGAAGUUUGAAGUAGAUAGGAUGUUUCAUUCAAUUAUCUUUCUAUAAGUUAUGUACAUGGAAGUUCCGACAUACGAGUAUGUUACUCUUGAGUUUUAGAGUACCCUUGAUUUCCAUUUGCAUAGGAAGUGGGUUGGCGAUGUGAGGUACUUCUACGGUACUCUCAAAUUCCGUCUUUUUAAUCAAAAGCAUGAUUUGUAUGUUGAAUAUAUGAGGAGUAUUCUUCUACUGCCUAUUUUUGGACCCGUAGAUGUUCCAGAUGAUUCCCUUGUUGCACAAUUCUGGGCUGAAAUUACAGGUAAUUUAGACUAUAGUUCUGCAACCGCAAAAGCUUCCAUUAUCCAUAAUCCUUGUUUCUGGUAUGCUAAAAGAGAACUAUUUUCAUGUAUUCUAAGGCCCAUAAUGAGAUGGUUAACGCCGAUACAUUUGCGGAUAACUAUUUAGGAAGGGUUGCUCGUGCGACCACUGGGGGUAUGAUUACCCAAAUCACCGAUUACCUAGGUUAUGCACCUAAUUUGUCUCAAGAUUGUUUGGUUGCAGGUAAAACAAAAAGUGAUAUGGAAGCCCUUAUUCAUCAGGGCAUGAUUGCUGUUGUCGGUAACACCUACUCGGUGAUGAUCUACAACCAACACCUCAUCGAUCUACCCGACCCAGACAUAGUAAGAAUUGAUGAUAAGAAUAAUUGGAUUUAUGUAGUAGUUUCCCCUCUUCCGGUUUUGUCUGACGAAGAGGACAACCAUGAUUUUGAUAACUUUGUUGCAGGUAAUGCUAUGGAUCAAGACCUUGCACCCUCACACCUCUGCCCUGCCCAACAAGAAACCAGGGUUACUAGUGUAAAUCAAGGAUGAUGGGCAUGGAUACAAUCUGAGCUAGGUGACCUGAGAUCUGAACAAGUAUGGAAAAUCUUCGAGCAAGCAAGGCAAGGAGCAUUACUGGAUAACAUGCAAGCAAUGAUGCAACAAAUGAUAUUGCAUUUCCCUCCACCUCCUAAGUGAGGACUUCUAUGAGUUACCACUAUUUUCUUGUGCUAAAAUAUUGAGGACAAUGUUUGGUUCAUGUUUGGGGGGGGGGGGUACCUGUUUUUGUUUUCUUUAUUACCACUAUUUUCUUGUGCUAAAAUAUUGAGGACAAUGUUUGGUUCAUGUUUGGGGGGGGGGGGUACCUGUUUUUGUUUUCUUUUGUUGUUUCUAUUAUUAUCUUGUCACUUGUUUUGUCAGUUUGUUUACUAUUUCUGUUAUUUACUUCUGUUAGUUUUAUUUCCUAAAGAUCACUAUUUGAAGUUUUUCCCAAAUUAGGUUCGUAAGAAAUUUUUUCAAAAUAGAGCUUUGACUUUGAGGGAUGAUGAGAAAGUAUAUAGAGUUUGAGGGAGGAGAGGCUAGGUCUAGGGACAUUGGGAAAGUUUGAAAACUAAGGUAUGACCCAAAUACCUUAGGUUUCCCAGAGUAAGGACGCGAGUCCAAUGUGUAGAUUUAUGCCAUGAUACUCGGAUCUGAGAAGUAUUUCUCGAUUAGUUUAUAUUGAUAGUCUGCCAUAAUUAAAAAGACUUACAUGUAUGGUUGGUUGGUUGAGAAACAAAUAAUUUGGACACGAAAAAUGAUGCAAAAAAAGGAAAUAUAGGCAACUAGACCUUCUAAGUUGUGUAACCCUCACCCGGUUAUUUAUCCUAACGGUGGUUGAGUCUCAAUUGUCGUUCCAAAGUGGACCAAUAAACGCCAAUGUGCAUAAAAUCAUCGGAAAGAAUAAUAAAAAGGUGGCUAGAAAAAAUUUCUCGAUCGAUAUUAUACAUGUUAGGGAAACAAUAAUUGAAAAUUCCUUAAUAUGAUUAUCUGAAUGAAAGGGAAAGAAAAUCAAAAAAGAAACUUAAGCCCAAGGCAUUGUUAGAGAGGUGUCCAAAAGGGAGAUUUAGGUCGAUGGUUUUACCGCGGUGCGUGUUCUUGUAAUACUUUCGUUGAAUGAUGACUAUCAAGAGAACUAGGUCUAGCCAAUCAAAACAAAAAAUCAUAUAUGAAUACCAGCAUGCUCCAUUUUCACAAGCUCUUUCAUGAAAUGAACUGCUUUAUCCAAAAUUUGCUUUUGUGAGCUUUGUUGCUUGAGGACAAGCAACGGUCUAAGUUUGAGGGAGUUUGAUAAAUGGUUUUUACACCGUCUUUUAUUACUUAUUUUGAUUGACUAUUUUAUCGUUUUAUUCCAUUUUAGUUUACUUUACCGCAUUUUACACUUUGGUUGUCUUUUUUCAAUGUUUUUUAGGUCUCAAUAAGUAUAUGGGAAAAAGUAAAGGAAAAACACAAAGAAUCGAGAAGAAUGGAAAAGCUACAAAACAUAAGCCAAAGGGCUUCUACGGGAGCCUGUAGCACAGGCUACAACCCGUAGCAACUGAGACAAAUUCCCCCUUUUCAAACUUCUUCAGCUAUCCAAAAGCAGUGGCCUACUACGGGUGCCCGUAGCACGUGCUACAACCCAUAAUAGGCAGACAUGUCUUGUUUCAUUUAUUUCCUUUUCCAUUUCGAUUUCUUGCUGAUUUUGUACCUCUUCACCUUCCAAAUUGACAUUAUUCUAUUUUUAAAGGGUAUUGAAGCAGAUGUUUUGUUUUAUGUUUAGAAUAAACUAUCAAACUAAGAAUUGAUAGUCAAUUUUAG